rnacentral:lncRNA from 1 species
CAACCAACUUUAUUCAAUUAAUUCAUCAACUGUCUCAAAUACGCAACAAAACAGAAAUAAAUAACAAACAAAAACCCUAAAGAGAAGGGUUUGGGCCAAACCCGCUAAACAAACCCAAUAACAGAAAUAUAAAUAAUAAUCCAAAUAGAAUAUAACUAAUAGUUCAAAUAGAAAAUAAAUAGUAAAUGGAAGAAAAUAAAUAGUAAAUGGAUGUCCGCAUCAAAUAGCUUCGUAAACUUCUCUUUCAUUGUUUCAACAUCUGAAUUCUGACUCAGUUUUUCAUUUUUACAUUGUUGUGGGCUUGCAGAGAAGUCCCAUUCGUCUGUGCCACGAUCGUCCUUUUUCCUGAUCGUCCAGAGAGAAGAGAAUGACCCAAAAACAGUAUUGCUGGACGAGCAGCUUCAGUCAUCUUCAUCCAAGGAAUCGGUGAUAUGUCCAUCUCCACUGCUAGUGCUACUAGCAUUAUUGAAAGAGUGACUGUUGAGAAUACAGCUCUCAAGGCCAUUAUAUGUCACUAUUCCUGCAAGUUUCAGUUUUAAUUUAGUUUUUAUUAUACAAGUUAGAAGAUUUGAAUAAAUGAAAGAAGAA